rnacentral:ncRNA from 1 species
GAGUGGCUGUAAACGUUUUGCAGCUUCCACAGAAAACUGUGGUUGAAACUGCAGGAGAAUUGCUGGAAGCCCUAACGUAGAAACGUGGGUAAUCAGCAGCCGAGCCCCCGCCGUUUUGCUUCGUAAAACGAAGCAGCGGGGGAAGGUUCAGAGACUAUGCACCUGCUGCCUAAUGCUAAAAGCUAUGGCAAAGAUAUAGUCCGCUUCCGAAAGUAAUUUCGGG